UACGUAGGGUGCGAGCGUUGUCCGGAAUUAUUGGGCGUAAAGGGCUCGUAGGCGGUUUGUCGCGUCGGGAGUGAAAACCUUGGGCUUAACUCAGGGCUUGCUUUCGAUACGGGCAGACUAGAGGUAUGCAGGGGAGAACGGAAUUCCUGGUGUAGCGGUGAAAUGCGCAGAUAUCAGGAGGAACACUGGUGGCGAAGGCGGUUCUCUGGGCAUGAUCUGACGCUGAGGAGCGAAAGUGUGGGGAGCGAACAGG
rnacentral:rRNA from 1 species